UUUUUCUCAUCCAGACCAAUAAGAAAGUCAAAUAUUAGAGGAACGUACACAUAAAAGCAUGACCUCUUUCAAUUGUUUCAUUCUCGCUCUCUUGAUUGCUUUGUCAUUUUCAAGCAUGGACGUUAGCGUAGCGGCUCGCAACCUUCUGCAAUUGCCACCAUUGCCUUCGAUGCCAAAUUCACCAUCAAUCCCUCCUAAUAUUCCAACUCUCCCACAACCCAC
rnacentral:lncRNA from 1 species